rnacentral:rRNA from 1 species
AUUGAACGCUGGCGGCAUGCUUUACACAUGCAAGUCGAACGGCAGCGCGGGCUUCGGCCUGGCGGCGAGUGGCGAACGGGUGAGUAAUACAUCGGAACGUGCCCCGUAGUGGGGGAUAGCUCGGCGAAAGCCGGAUUAAUACCGCAUACGACCUGAGGGUGAAAGCGGGGGAUCUUCGGACCUCGCGCUAUUGGAGCGGCCGAUGGCAGAUUAGCUAGUUGGUGGGGUAAAGGCCUACCAGGGCGACGAUCUGUAGCUGGUCUGAGAGGACGACCAGCCACACUGGGACUGAGACACGGCCCAGACUCCUACGGGAGGCAGCAGUGGGGAAUUUUGGACAAUGGGCGAAAGCCUGAUCCAGCAAUGCCGCGUGUGUGAUGAAGGCCUUCGGGUUGUAAAGCACUUUUGGCGGGAACGAAAAGGACUGUGCCAAUACCACGGUUCGAUGACGGUACCCGCAGAAUAAGCACCGGCUAACUACGUG